UUAGAUUUCUCAAAGUUUGAAUCUGGUAAAUUUGCCAUCUUCUACUUUCUUCCCCUCCCAACAAUGAAAAACCCUAAAAAACCGAAAGGCUGGUGAGGAGGACGACCAUGGUGGCCGCUGCAUUGCUGCUUGCUUCCUCUUUACUGCUGAUUACGGCCCUGAGCCCAACGCUCUCGAUCCUUUCAUUGAUGCUGAAACAAUGGUUUCUCCAACAAUUUUUGCCCAUCGUAGUUUAUCUUAUCUCAUGAGUGACAAGCCUCAGGAACCUCUCAACGAUGCAAUGCAAGCACAAGUAGUUUCCCCAGUUUGGCACAUUGUAUCUUAUCUUCAGGGUGCUGCCCUUUUGGCCAUUCAGAUGCUGACAGAUUCUUGCUUGGAAGGACAGCUUUCUAAUGAUGAUGGUACCAAGUUGGCACGGUUGGCUUCACAAAGUUUACAAUCUGAACCCUGAGAGCGACCAAAUCUAAAGUCAUUAGUUGCUUCUUUGAUUCCUCUUCAGAAAGAGACUGAGGUUAGUUCUCUCCUCUGUUUCUCUAAUUAAGCAUUAUAUUCCCAACUUUACCCGGGGAGCAUAGUUUAACUGUUUAAAAUCUUCACACAAUUGUUUCUAGAUCUAUAUUUUGGGGCAGUCUUGUAAGCAAUAUAUUCAUAUGUUAUCUUC